rnacentral:rRNA from 1 species
UACGUAGGCAGCGAGCGUUGUUCGGAGUUACUGGGCGUAAAGAGUGCGUAGGCGGUUUUCUAAGUUUGGUGUGAAAUCUCCCGGCUUAACUGGGAGGGUGCGCCGAAAACUGGAAGGCUUGAGUAUGGGAGAGGUAAGCGGAAUUCCUGGUGUAGCGGUGAAAUGCGUAGAUAUCAGGAGGAACACCUGCGGUGUAGACGGCUUACUGGACCAUAACUGACGCUGAGGCGCGAAAGCCAGGGGAGCAAACGGG